rnacentral:tRNA from 1 species
GGGGGCAUAGCUCAGUGGCAGAGCGCGUGCUUAGCAUGCAAGAGGCCCUGGGUCCGAUGCCCAGUGCCUCCA